UCAUGCAGAAUUGAAUUUUUCAAUAGGAAAACCUGUUAAUGAUACGUGGAACAAUUAUCCUGAUAAUUCUUUGAAUUCAAUGUCUUUACUCGACAAUAUUGUGCUAUUUUAUAAUGGAACCAGUACAUUAGUUAAUGAUCUUCCGGAAAUAUUGCCAAAUCAAGGUUUGGAACUUCCCAAAGAUUCAAGGAGAAUUUUAAAAACACCUUAUGAAAAGCGACUUAUAGACAGGAGCGUCAACUACAUCAAGUGUCAGUUAAUUUAUAUGUUUUGGUCAAAUACAUGUUUGUAUUUGCUCCUCCAAAAUUUGAAAGUCUGUGAUUCAAAAUUUCG